rnacentral:rRNA from 1 species
ACGCGAAAGCCCCCUUCGGGGGGCAAGUAGAGUGGCGCACGGGUGAGUAACACGUAGGUAAUCUACCUUUGGAUGGGGAAUAACAACCGGAAACGGUUGCUAAUACCGCAUAAUGCAGCGGCACCUAAUGGUGACAGUUGUUAAAGCGGGGGAUCGCAAGACCUCGCGUCUGAAGAGGAGCCUGCGGCGGAUUAGCUAGUUGGUAAGGUAACGGCUUACCAAGGCUAUGAUCCGUAGCCGGCCUGAGAGGGCGGUCGGCCACACUGACACUGACAUACGGGUCAGACUCCUACGGGAGGCAGCAGUCGGGAAUUUUGGGCAAUGGGCGAAAGCCUGACCCAGCAACGCCGCGUGAAGGAUGAAAUCCUUCGGGAUGUAAACUUCGCAAGAACAGGAAGAAUAAGUAAGGGUUAAUAUCUCUUACGAUGACGGUACUGUUUGUAAGCUCCGGCUAACUCCGUGCCAGCAGCCGCGGUAAUACGGGGGGAGCAAGCGUUG